rfam:Kushneria marisflavi strain SW32, complete genome.
CGCGAAGACUGCAAAUAUGCGUGGUCUUCGACAUUUAUCAAUGCUUAGGCAUAUUAAACUGGAGAAGUAACAUGGCACUGACUGCCGAACGCAAGGCCGAAAUCGUCAAGGAAUUCGCCACUGCCGAG